rnacentral:lncRNA from 1 species
GCCGCUGUAUCACACAGCCGACCCUUUUCUCUUCUCUGUAUUUCUCUUCUAAAAGCAAAUAUGCAUACAAGUGCUUAAGUAGACUCACGCUCACGUAGCCGGGCCACACACUCGCCCACUAACUGCAUGCACGCACCCACGCACACCACUAACUAAUGACUUGAUCUUCUCCUAGAAUCACUCUAGGAACCACACGACCCGGCCACUCAUGCAGCAGCAGCUAACAACCUCGGACAUGCAUACACAGCAGCCUCUCGCCACCGUUCGGCAUCUCGCCAUGCGCCAUAUCUCACGGCGCCUCGCAUCUCACCUCCUGCAUGUUCUCCAAGGCUUCACCUGCUACAACUACCUAUAUGCAUGGACAAGCAAACUAAUAUGCAGAUACAUCUGAAUCAAGAUUAAAAAAGCUAACAAUCACCCCCCUAAUCUUGAUUCCCAAUUCUUCAUGUUCAAAGGAGAGCUGGCUCGUCGUCGACGUACUGUCCCAGCAGCGCCUUCUCCUCCUCGUUCUCCUUCUUCUCGGGACACUCCCAAGCGAAGUGACCAAGUUUGCGGCAAUUGUAACACUGUACCUCAUUUUUGUCUCUACGCCCUCCACCGCGUCCACGGCCACGACCCCGUCCUCGCGACGAGUCGUGUCCUCUCGCCAUGAGGAGCUGCUCUUCUUCGCGUCCCGUCUCAUGCCCCUUGACGAGUUCCUCGUGUGCCUUGAGUGAACCAAUGGCCUCCUCCAUGCACUGGUAGAAAAAGAGGCUUCCGUCCAGCCCCAUUAGUCGCGAAACUGUAGGAACCGCGACUAAUGAAGUCUUUAGUCGCGGUUCGGCAGACGAACCGCGACCAAAGGCCUGGGCCCAGGGCGCUCGGUGGCCAGCUGGUGCACGUGAGGGGCUUUAGUCGUGGUUGGCCAGGCCAACCGCGACUAAAGGUGCGCAAAGGCCUUUAGUCGCGGUUGGCCAGGCCAACCGCGACUAAAGCUCCUCCCCUAUAUAUACCAGUUCAGCACGCUCACUUAGCCAUUUGGUGCCACUUCUCUUCACAAGCUUCACAAGGGGGUGUAGGUUUGCUUUUGGUUCCUCUUAUGCACACAAGGUGUUUGAUGAAAUGCCCUAAGAGGGUGAAACAAACAUGAUAUGAAGUGUUGGAGCCACACUUGAGGUUCCUCAUUUAUUUUUUCCUUCUCGAUCGCGGUUAGCAACUUGAACCUUUCAUGCAUGUGUGUCAUUGAUAAAAUAUGCAUGUGUGCAGUUCAUUGUUUAAUUUAUAUUGUUUGUAGCUAGUUAGUUUAACAAAUGCAUGAUGGUUAAUUAUAUAUUUUAUAUUAUAAUAAUGCAGAUGAAUCGGCAAUGGAUGUACGGUAACCGACUCUCCGGCGAGUUCACUACGGGUUUGAAAGAUUUCCUCGUAGUGGCUAAUGCGAACAAGCAGGGGGGUUUUGUUAUCUGUUCAUGUGUUAUCUGUAAGAAUCAGAAGGGUUACUCUUCCUCAAGAGAUGUUCACAUGCAUCUGCUUCGGCACGGUUUCAUGCCAAGCUAUAAUUGUUGGACCAAGCAUGGAGAAAGAGGGGUUAUAAUGGAAGAAGAUGAAGAAGGGGAUGAUUUCAUCGAUGAAAGCUAUCUUGCUCAUUUCGGUGAUACUUUCAUGGAGGAUGCUGAAGGUGAAGGGGAAGGUGAAGAAGAGGCACGUGAUGAUCCCGUUGAUGAUCUUGGUCGGACCAUUGCUGAUGCACGGAGACGCUGCGAAACUGAAAAGGAGAGGGAGAAUUUGGAUCGCAUGUUAGAGGAUCACAGAAAGGCGCUGUACCCCGGAUGCGAUGAUGGUCUGAAAAAGCUGGGCUGCACACUGGAUUUGCUGAAAUGGAAGGCAGAGGCAGGUGUAGCUGACUUGGCAUUUGAAAACUUGCUGAAAAUGUUGAAGAAUAUGUUUCCAAAGGAUAACGAGUUGCCCGCCAGUACGUACGAAGCAAAGAAGGUUGUCUGCCCUCUAGGUUUAGAGGUUCUGAAGAUACAUGCAUGCAUCAACGACUGCAUCCUCUACCGCGGUGAAUACGAGAAUUUGAAUGAAUGCCCGGUAUGCACUGCAUUGCGUUAUAAGAUCAGAGGCGAUGACCCUGGUGACGAUGUUGAGGGCCAGAAACCCAGGAAGAGGGUUCCCGCCAAGGUGAUGUGGUAUGCUCCUAUAAUACCACGAUUGAAACGUCUGUUCAGGAACAAAGAGCAUGCCAAGUUGUUGCGAUGGCACAAAGAGGACCGUAAGUCGGACGGGGAGUUGAGACACACCGCAGAUGGAACGCAAUGGAGAAAGAUCGAUAGAUGGUUCAAAGAUUUUGCAGCUGACGCAAGGAACAUAAGAUUUGCUCUAAGUACGGAUGGCAUGAAUCCUUUUGGCGAGCAGAGCUCCAGCCAUAGCACCUGGCCCGUGACUCUAUGCAUCUACAACCUUCCUCCUUGGUUGUGCAUGAAGCGGAAGUUCAUUAUGAUGCCAGUGCUCAUCCAAGGUCCGAAGCAACCCGGCAACGACAUCGAUGUGUACCUAAGGCCAUUAGUUGAUGAACUUUUACAGCUGUGGGGUGGUGUCCGUGUGUGGGAUGAGCACAAACAAGAGGAAUUUGACCUACGAGCGUUGCUUUUCGUAACCAUCAACGAUUGGCCUGCUCUUAGUAACCUUUCGGGACUGUCAAAUAAGGGAUACAAUGCAUGCACGCACUGCUUACAUGAGACUGAAAGUGUACAUUUGCCAAAUUGUAAGAAGAACGUGUACCUUGGGCAUUGUCGAUUUCUUCCGAAAAUUCAUCCAGUAAGAAAGAAAGGCAAGCAUUACAACGGCAAGGCAGAUCACCGGCCGAAGCCUGCGGAACGCACUGGUGCUGAGGUAUUUGAUAUGGUCAAGGAUUUGAAAGUCAUCUUUGGAAAGGGUCCUGGCGGACAAUCAGUUCCGAAGGGAGCUGACGGGCACGCAGCCAUGUGGAAGAAGAAAUCUAUAUUCUGGGAGCUAGAAUAUUGGAAAGUCCUAGAUGUCCGCUCUGCAAUCGACGUGAUGCACGUUACGAAGAAUAUUUGCGUGAACCUCCUAAGCUUCUUGGGCGUGUAUGGGAAGACAAAUGAUACAAAGGAAGCACGGCAGGACCAGCAACGUUUGAAAGACCCUGAUGACCGGCAUCCGGAAUGGUUUCAAGGUCGUGCCAGCUACGCUCUGACCAAAGAAGAGAAGGUCAUCUUUUUUGAACGCCACCAAGUUUGUCAGCCAAUGCGGAGCCAUUGUUAGAGACAACGUCUCGAUCACCGUCCAGGAGUGGAAUGAGCCAAAGAAGGCACGAAUUGAUGGUUUCACUUUUGUCGAUAAGAGAACAAAAAAAGAUUGCUUCAAGAAGCUUAUGGAACAUUUCGUUCUACCUCCGGAAUACAACAAAUUCGAUGAGGAGGGUAACAAGAUUGAGGAAAACAAGGAGAGGAGGAGGCUAGUCAAACAGUUCGCUCUUCAUAAGAUGGCCGACGCAUUCCGGAAAUUCAAGCAAAAUCUAGCCCAUGACUUUGUCAAGCAGAACAAGACUCCGGAUUUCAAAGGACAAUAUGAGAAACUGAAACAUGAUUGGCCAGAAUUUGUGAAGCAAAAGAAAUCGGAGCAGUUCAUUCAAAUAUCGAAAAAAAUAAGGAAAAUGCGGCUAAGAAGGAGUACAAUCAUGUUAUGGGGCCAGGAGGGUAUCGCAUUUGGGUGCCUAGGUUGGAGAAGAUGGAGAACGAGCUGAGGGCGCGAGGAAUCCGUCCAGGUACGGAGGGAUGGGACCCAAGGGCCAAAAGCUGGUGGUACGGGCAUGGGGGAACGCUGAUGAGCAAAAGAAGUGGGCUAAGUCAUUUUUGAGCACACCGUCCCAAGCCGCGAAGAAUCUGCCUAACGACUAUGCACGUGAACUUCGCAGGCAGGCACUCAUGUUCAAGGAGAACAAAGAGCGGGAGAAGGCCGAAAGUAAAAAAAGCGGGAAACAAGUUGCCCAGCUCGGGGAACAAAGUAAACAAUCGAUUGCCCCGCUUAUAGUGGAAGCCUUCUGUCCGGAUGCCCCCGAGAUCAUACAAGCUGCGGCAGCACAGGGAUUGACUGUAACGAGUGCCAGAGAACAAGCGGCCAACUUAGGUAUUACUCUUCGUGAACUGUUAGGCCUUGAUGAGGCGCCAGUAAAGGAGGUAGUAAUUACAUAUGUCAAGAAUGGGCCUCUCGUCGAGCCUGCGCAGGAAAAGGAUCUACCUCCACAAAUGAAAGGUCUGCUGAAAUGGUACAAGGGUUACAUAAAAAAUAAAAACGCCAAAGAAUAUAUUUAUGCGGAAGUUAGACAUGAGCAUCACUUCAAACAUUACUAUGUACAAAUUGAACUGAGUGAAUUGUUCCAGCUUUUCAAUCUGCGCGAGCUCGAUAAAUCUAUCAUCAGUUGCUACGUUCUGUAAGUGAUUUAUUAAUUUCUACCCCAUCUCGUUCAUAUUGCCUGCACUAUAUAUAUGUCCUAACUAUAUUGUUGUGUCCGCUAUUAUACAUGCAGAAUGAAGAUUAAGGAAUGCAGAGUAAGGAACAUCCAUGAUGUUGGGUUCAUUGACCCACACAUCGUUAAUGGACAUGUGUUGGAGCGUUACCCCGCCGAUGUGGAGGCAGACCUGUGGCAGUUUCUUACAAAGCAGGAACUCAAAAGUGAUAUUCUAUUUCCUUACCAUUUUGAGUGAGUGUUUCUGUCUUGAGCACAUUCUCUUUUGUUUACUCCAUGCAUGGUAUGUGGCCGGCUAAUCGAUGAGUUAUGCAUGACGUACUGUGCAUGUAUCGUGUCCGCAGGUUUCACUGGAUUCUGCUAGUAAUUAAAGUUAACACCUCAGAAUGUCUCGUCCACGACUCUGUGAAUAUGGAUCCAAAGCUUUGGGGCGGCAUGAGAAGAAUGCUGCAGAAGUAAUUAUUUUCAUUCAUUUGCGCUCUAUAUCGAUCGGCCUAUUUCGUUCAUUUCCUAAUAUCAAGUAACUAAUUAAUAACUCUCUUGUUCAUUUAAUUUUCUUUGCCUCGUAGGGUUUGGAGACGGUUCGUAGAUACAAAGGUCGGUGAAUUCAAAAAAGAGCUAGAAUUCAAAAUGUUAAAGGCUAAGAAUGCUGGGGAUAUUCAGCCACCGGAGACCAAUCUAUGUGGAUACUAUGUCUGUGAGAUGAUCCGGAGAUACACCUCUGAGCGGGUUCCGAGUGAUACCAAUGCUCAGAGGAAUAACCUCCGGUGGAUGCUUAGUCCAGAAGCUCGCUUCCGACCACUUCAAGAGGAACUAGCUGGAUGGUUCAGCAGGGAAGUCCUCCAUCCUAAAGGAGAACACUAUUACGAGGACGUAGAACUUUAUAUGCAUUAAAUCAUGUAUGGAAACCUGUUCAAAAUUGUAUAUGGUCAUCCGAUGAUAUUGAAUAUAUAUUGUAUAUUCCUCUUGAAUUCUUUUUGGUUCUAAUUUCAAAUUUAUUUGAAAUUGUACAUUCAUAUGCAUGUAUGUAGUACCGUAGAAUAUAUGAAACUCCUUCAAAAUUAAAAUAAAGCACAAAAGAAAUAAAACAAUACAAAUUAAACAGAAAACAGGUUUAAGGGGGGGGGGGCUAAAACCCUAAACCUGCGGCGGCCUUUAGUCGCGGUUGGCCAGAAGAACCGCGACUAAAGGUCCUCCGCCCCGACGGCCACCUGGCGCCCACGUGGACGGGCCUUUAGUCGCGGUUCUUAAGCAACCGCGACUAAAGGGGGGGGCCUUUAGUCGCGCCCGUUCGGUCGCGGUUGCGCAACCGCGACUAAUGGCAGUUGCGAACCGCGACCAAAGGCCCUUUUUCCACCAGUGAUGGCCAUCUUGUUGGUGUCGCCGAACAACGCAAUUGACGACGCAACAUGGAUGAACUUGUUGGAAACGGAUCGGAGCAGCUUCUUCACGACGUACUUCUCCUCCAUCGCAUCACCAAGCUCACGGAUGCGCCCCACGAGCGUCGUGAACCUCGCCGCGAAAUCAUCCACGGACUCCGCAUCACCCAUCUUGAGGCCAUCAAAUUCCGAGCGCAAGGAUUGAACCCUCGCCUCUCGGACGCGCUCGACGCCCACAUGCAUGGAGCGUAGCGCCGCCCACACAUCGGCUGCGGUCUCCUUCUCCGCAACCCGCAGCAGCGUCGAGUCAUCGAUGGACUGGGAGAUGAUCGUCAUGGCCAUCUCCUCCUUGCCCUUGUCGACCUCCGAUGAGGCCUUGCGAUCAACGGCACCCCACGCGCCAUUGGCGCGCAAGAGGUACUUCAUCCUCAUCGCCCAUGCCGCGUAGUUCGUCCUCGUGAGCAGCGGGAAUGGGAGCUUCCCCGCCGCCGCCGUCGUCGCCGCCGUCGCGGCAGCCGCCAUCGCCGCCGAGUCGCUCGGCACCAACGCUCCACUCGCUGAAGAGUCACGCGGCAUCGUCUUCGUCAUCACCUAGCGCUGAUACCAAAUGUUGGAGCUGAAUCUUUCAACCCCUCUUCUUCUUCCUCUAGCUACCUCUCAAAGCUCACGGAAGAACAAAAGAACACAGAUAUUUGGUGGCUGCUGUAUCACACAGCCGACCCUUUUCUCUUCUCUGUAUUUCUCUUCUAAAAGCAAAUAUGCAUACAAGUGCUUAAGUAGACUCACGCUCACGUAGCCGGGCCACACACUCGCCCACUAACUGCAUGCACGCACCCACGCACACCACUAACUAAUGACUUGAUCUUCUCCUAGAAUCACUCUAGGAACCACACGACCCGGCCACUCAUGCAGCAGCAGCUAACAACCUCGGACAUGCAUACACAGCAGCCUCUCGCCACCGUUCGGCAUCUCGCCAUGCGCCAUAUCUCACGGCGCCUCGCAUCUCACCUCCUGCAUGUUCUCCAAGGCUUCACCUGCUACAACUACCUAUAUGCAUGGACAAGCAAACUAAUAUGCAGAUACAUCUGAAUCAAGAUUAAAAAAGCUAACAAUCACCCCCCUAAUCUUGAUUCCCAAUUCUUCAUGUUCAAAGGAGAGCUGGCUCGUCGUCGACGUACUGUCCCAGCAGCGCCUUCUCCUCCUCGUUCUCCUUCUUCUCGGGACACUCCCAAGCGAAGUGACCAAGUUUGCGGCA